rnacentral:rRNA from 1 species
UACGUAGGUGGCAAGCGUUGUCCGGAUUUAUUGGGCUUAAAGGGUGCGUAGGUGGUCAAUUAAGUCAGUGGUGAAAUAUCCCGGCUUAACCGGGAGGGUGGCAUUGAUACUGAUUGACUUGAGUAGAGUUGAGGUAGGCGGAAUUCCUGGUGUAGCGGUGAAAUGCGCAGAUAUCAGGAGGAACACCGGUGGCGAAGGCGGGUCUGUGGGCCGAUACUGACGCUGAGGAGCGAAAGCGUGGGGAGCGAACAGG